UACGUAGGGUGCGAGCGUUAAUCGGAAUUACUGGGCGUAAAGCGCGCGUAGGCGGCUCGGAAAGUCGGGCGUGAAAUGCCGGGGCUCAACCCCGGGACUGCGUCCGAUACUUCCGAGCUGGAGGUAGGUAGGGGAGAUCGGAAUUCCUGGUGUAGCGGUGAAAUGCGCAGAUAUCAGGAGGAACACCGGUGGCGAAGGCGGAUCUCUGGGCCUUACCUGACGCUCAGGUGCGAAAGCUAGGGGAGCGAACAGG
rnacentral:rRNA from 1 species